rnacentral:rRNA from 1 species
CCUACGUGUGGCUGCAGUGAGGAAUAUUGGUCAAUGGGCGGGAGCCUGAACCAGCCAAGUCGCGUGAGGGAAGACGGUCCUAUGGAUUGUACACCUCUUUAGGCGGGGAGCAAUGCCGGGCACGUGUGCCCGGAGGGAGAGUACCCGCAGAAUAAGCAUCGGCUAACUCCGUGCCAGCAGCCGCGGUAAUACGGAGGAUGCGAGCGUUAUCCGGAUUUAUUGGGUUAAAGGGGUGCGUAGGCGGAAUAUCAGGUCAGCUGUAAAAAUUCGGGGCUCAACCCCGUCGUGCCGUUGAAACUGAUGUUCUUGAGUGGGCGAGAAGUAUGCGGAAUGCGUGGUGUAGCGGUGAAAUGCAUAGAUAUCACGCAGAACUCCGAUUGCGAAGGCAGCAUACCGGCGCCCAACUGACGCUGAAGCACGAAAGCGUGGGUAUCGAACAGGAUUAGAUACCCUUGUAGUC